GGGGUCGACUUGGUUUCGAUUCUGUGUGUUGCUUCGAUGAGAAGCGUGCCGAGGGUUGGACGGCCACCUCGAAAAUCAGACUGUCCACCAAGAGAUGCCAACGCUUCUCGCAACGACUUCGCCCUCGCAGCCUAACCGGUUCGAGACUCAUGGCGAGUCCCUCGCGCACUGCAACGGGAACGGUUUCGCCCGCAGUGCCGGGGUCAGCAUCAGACGACCAUGACGACCCGGUUGGACGCAUCCCGGGUCGGCAUCAUCAUUGCGCCUAGACCCGCCGGCUGAGCUGUUCACCGCAGAAGCCGAGGUCGAGAAGCAGCCCACGGUGAACUACGCACGUAGAAGGCUUCGUUCAGUCACAGAAGACGAGGGUUCGAUCCCCUCCGACUCCACCU
rnacentral:tmRNA from 1 species